UUCGGCUAUCACUUACAGAUGGGCCCGCGGUGCAUUAGCUAGUUGGUGAGGUAACGGCUCACCAAGGCAACGAUGCAUAGCCGACCUGAGAGGGUGAUCGGCCACACUGGGACUGAGACACGGCCCAGACUCCUACGGGAGGCAGCAGUAGGGAAUCUUCCGCAAUGGACGAAAGUCUGACGGAGCAACGCCGCGUGAGUGAUGAAGGCUUUCGGGUCGUAAAACUCUGUUGUUAGGGAAGAACAAGUACGAGAGUAACUGCUCGUACCUUGACGGUACCUAACCAGAAAGCCACGGCUAACUACGUGCCAGCAGCCGCGGUAAUACGUAGGUGGCAAGCGUUAUCCGGAAUUAUUGGGCGUAAAGCGCGCGCAGGCGGUUUCUUAAGUCUGAUGUGAAAGCCCACGGCUCAACCGUGGAGGGUCAUUGGAAACUGGGGAA
rnacentral:rRNA from 2 species